AAAGCCAAAGCACAAAAAGUUAAAAAGUUGAAGCGCCCUGGCUUCUUCUGGAGGUGCACACACAAUCUGCAGAGGUGCACACACAAUUUGUGGAGGAAACGUGCUGAGGAGCAACCUGGCCUGGAAACCAGCUGCAAGGAUGUGGAGGGAGCUACGCCCCUUCUCCCCCCAGGCCAGAGCCGUCUGCUGUGGGACUGACUAGGAGGAGAGAGCUGGAGCUCACCAACCUGCCGUCACCACUCAUUGUGCCAAGCCCACAGCACUUCAGUAAACCCUGCUAAUCCCACUGCCAGUCUGGGCUGGAGGACAGACAGCACAUGACCGGAGGAAGAGGAAGAGCAAGAUAUCCUGAGGUAAAUUGUCCUUUGGUGGCAGCGAUGGAAAUAUGGGCUGAAGAUGGGGAGUCUCCCUUCACAGCCAGUGAGACGUUCUCUGUGUGCAGCUUCCCAACGGCUGUGGAUCCUUGGAGACCAAGGAUUUGUAAUGAUUUUUUGUGGGUGUUAAGUGUUCUUAUACAAGUGAAAAAUAAAUGACUCACAGGAAGAAAAGAAAUUCAUAAUUUUUUUCCACGCUGAAAACUCCACUAUUGUCAUAUUUGUUUUAUCUCUAGUCGGGAUGAAAGUCAAUGGGUUAACAUUAUUUGAGGAAUCUCGAGUCCCCCCCAAAUUGUUACAUGAAUGUAAUACAAAAAUGCUUCAAUAUUAUCAACUGAAAUAAAAUGUUUGGCUAUUUUCAAAUCCAAA